UUGCUUCCCGCUGACGAGCGGCGGACGGGUGAGUAAUGCUUAGGAAUCUGCCCAGUAGUGGGGGAUAGCCCGGGGAAACCCGGAUUAAUACCGCAUACGUCCUACGGGAGAAAGCAGGGGAUCUUCGGACCUUGCGCUAUUGGAUGAGCCUAAGUCGGAUUAGCUAGUUGGUGGGGUAAAGGCCUACCAAGGCGACGAUCCGUAGCUGGUCUGAGAGGAUGAUCAGCCACAUCGGGACUGAGACACGGCCCGAACUCCUACGGGAGGCAGCAGUGGGGAAUAUUGGACAAUGGGGGCAACCCUGAUCCAGCCAUGCCGCGUGUGUGAAGAAGGCUUUCGGGUUGUAAAGCACUUUCAGUAGGGAGGAAAACCUUAUGGUUAAUACCCAUGAGGCUUGACGUUACCUACAGAAGAAGCACCGGCUAACUCCGUGCCAGCAGCCGCGGUAAUACGGAGGGUGCAAGCGUUAAUCGGAAUUACUGGGCGUAAAGCGCGCGUAGGUGGUUUGGUAAGCGAGAUGUGAAAGCCCCGGGCUUAACCUGGGAACGGCAUUUCGAACUGUCAGACUAGAGUGUGGUAGAGGGUAGUGGAAUUUCCUGUGUAGCGGUGAAAUGCGUAGAUAUAGGAAGGAACACCAGUGGCGAAGGCGGCUACCUGGACCAACACUGACACUG
rnacentral:rRNA from 2 species